rnacentral:rRNA from 1 species
GAUGAACGCUAGCGGCAGGCUUAAUACAUGCAAGUCGUGGGGCAGCAUGAAGUAGCAAUACUUUGAUGGCGACCGGCAAACGGGUGCGGAACACGUACACAACCUUCCUUUUAGUGGGGAAUAGCCCAGAGAAAUUUGGAUUAAUACCCCGUAACAUAGCGAUGUGGCAUCACAUUGCUAUUAUAGCUUCGGCGCUAGAUGAUGGGUGUGCGUAUGAUUAGAUAGUUGGCGAGGUAACGGCUUACCAAGUCUACGAUCAUUAGCUGAUGUGGGAGCAUGAUCAUCCACACGGGCACUGAGACACUGGCCCGACUCCUACGGGAUGCAGCAGUAAGGAAUAUUGGUCAAUGGACGAAAGUCUGAACCAGCCAUGCCGCGUGAAGGAUUAAGGUCCUCUGGAUUGUAAACUUCUUUUAUAUGGGACGAAAAAAGGUCUUUCUAGAUCACUUGACGGUACCAUAUGAAUAAGCACCGGCUAACUCCGUGCCAGCAGCCGCAGUAACAC